rnacentral:rRNA from 14 species
CUCGUGUCGUGAGAUGUUGGGUUAAGUCCCGUAACGAGCGCAACCCUUGUCCUUAGUUACCAGCACGUAAUGGUGGGCACUCUAAGGAGACUGCCGGUGACAAACCGGAGGAAGGUGGGGACGACGUCAAAUCAUCAUGCCCCUUAUGAUUUGGGCUACACACGUGCUACAAUGGGCAGGAACAAAGGGCAGCUAAACCGCGAGGUCAUGCGAAUCCCAUAAAACUGUUCUCAGUUCGGAUUGGAGUCUGCAACUCGACUCCAUGAAGCUGGAAUCGCUAGUAAUCGUAGGUCAGCAUACUACGGUGAAUACGUUCCCGGGUCUUGUACACACCGCCCGUCACACCACGAAAGUCAGUAACACCUGAAGCCGGUGGACCAACCAUUUAUGGAGGUAGCCGUCAAAGGUGGGACCGAUGAUUGGGGUGAAGUCGUAACAAGGUAGCCGUAUCGGAAGGUGCGGCUGGAUCACCUCCUU